rnacentral:tRNA from 1 species
UGCUCCUGUGCCACGGCAUGCGUGAUCAAGCCUUGCAGCGCCUUGGAGAGCGGAUCGUCGCCGUUGGGCGUGAC